AAGAAAGAAAAAGAAACUUCUCUUUUUUAAGAGAGAACUUGUGUGCAAUGGCUACACAAACAGCAGCUUCCUUGGUAGUGUAAUGCAGCCUGUUUCUUUUAUGGGUUGCUCUAAGGGACCUUGGACACAAGC